rnacentral:lncRNA from 1 species
UUUUUUUUUCUCUUUUCUUCUAACUAUGAUCUUGAUCUCAUGCAUAAUAUCAUUAGACUAUGAAUUAGGGAAACCUUCCAUAACAAAUCACAAUAUUUCAUUAUUUAUAAGCUGAACAAACAAAAGAUUAUACUUCUUAUUUAAUAGGAAAUCAGAAAUCAGGGUACAGAAUACUUUUUUGGCUACUGAGCACAAUUAUUGUCCUCAAGGGUACAACUUUCAAUCAUUAAAGGAAAACAAUUAUGGAAACUUUCAAAUUAUCUUUUGCAAACUAUACCAUUCCGACUGUUGGAACUACCAGUGCAAUCCAGCAUGCCAUAUUCCAUCACUGAGUCUGCCUUCUCAGAAGCUUCGGCCGGUAAGAACAUACAAACACGGCAGUCUGCAGAAGUAAGAGACGUGGUUCUGUACUUGUCUUCCCCUCCAACUACCGGCAUUGCCACGCCAGGCUUCGCUGGAUUUUGAAAAUCUGGUUGGUAAGUCCUGCCAAGCACUCCUUCAACUUUGGAGGAUAGACCAUAGAAGUUAAACUGCACCUCCAAGUGAGCAAAACAAUCAUCAUCAGGGAUCUGAUAGUUAUGGAUUCUGCUAUCCUCCUUGGUAACAGGCACCACAUUGACAGAUAUCUCUGCGAUUUCAGGGAUGGUAACGAUCACACUAUUCUUACUUGAUAUUCUCUCGACUCGAAGUUGAUUUUCUCGGUCUUGCCAUGUAGAGAGGUGACCUUCUGGGAUGACAAGUUCUGCUCCAUCAUAAGAGAUCUUCAAACGGUCAACUUCAUCAUCCCAAAUUCCUGAUGGGGUGGCCUCAACAGAAAAUUUGUGGGAAUCAAAGAGGAUUCCCAGAGCUUGAAUCCAAGUGUAAUCCCUUGGUCUCCCUGAAGGCCUAAGGCCAAUGAAACGGGCAUUGAUUUGGAGGUUGACAUCAGACACCAAACUGAAAUGCUCGUCGCGCCUUCCAUGGAAGUAAAAAACAAUGCCAUCUGCGCCAACAAAACGAGGGUCCAAGCACGCGGAUCCACGGCCAUUGCAAUUUGGUUUGGGACCUGUCAUGUCAUCAAAAUAUUGUUGUGAGCAGUGCUAUAGGUAAGUGAUUGAACAUAAGAAUGUGCUAAACCAAGAACUUUUAUUUAAAUAACAUGCAGUUGUGUAAUGCGUAAAGUUGUGUUGCUGAACAUAAAAUGAUCUUACUUUUGCAAGAAGCUUUGCACAUGGGAGAAUCACAGUCAACAUAACAGACUUUGGCUUUUGGAUUAGAAGGUGAUUUCAAAGGGCAUUCAUGAGGGCAUGGUAUUUUCUUCAGAAAGCAUUGGCUCUUACGGUUGGUACAGGUCUGAGUAUCUGAAUAAUAGACUCCAUAGAAAGCAUCAACAUGCAUCACAAAGAAUGCAAAUAGCAGAAGGACAAAUGUUAAGCCUUUGCUUAUUGGGAUACCCAUGAUUUUCCUCUUAGAUUAGAUAGAUAGGGUGAUCAAUGUGGCCUCGCCUUAUAUGCUCUCUUUGGCUUCACCUUCUUACUAGAAAACUUAGCAAGUUGGUCGAUUAUUAUUUGUAAAGCUUUAACAUUUGCUACACCUUUUGUUCUGUAGCUCAAUUCCACGAACGUGACAGGGAUGAAUUGCUGAAUUCUUUGUGGCAUCUUUUACAUAGUCAAAAAAAUGUCAUUAUAGUAUGAGCAAAUGAAAGUUGACAUUGGGCUUUAGUGUGAGGACAAAAAACUUCACAAGCAACUCUUUUUCUACAGACGGGCUUAUUGACAUGCACGAUGUUAUUCUAGUUCAGCCAUGAGAGACAGAGGCAACUUGCCAAGACUGCAUGGUUUAAUAUGAUUUGUAUUUGUUCUUUGGUAAUCAAAACUUAAGGAAGAAAGAAAAUUGUAUUAUGAUCGACGAUGCGUGGUUUGUUCAAGUCAUAUACUUGACUUCUCUUAAGUAAUGCAUCAAAUUCGAGUUUUGCGUAUAAAAAAAUCUCACUGGGAAAGCUAGCUUCACUAGGAAGUGGAUGUCCCUCGCUCCAACACGAUUGCUUUCAAUUGGAGGAUCAUGUGUUCAAAUUAAAAAAAAAAACGAAGAGAAAUUUCCAUUGUUGACCGUUUUAAGGCGAGACAACAUGCUUAUUUCAAGGAAAAGUUUUAGUGAAGUUACAAAGUUACUAUUUGUACCCUCCUACCUGGUCGGACUAAGACGUAUUCACUUAGAAACUUCACAGGGCUACAAUAAUAUUGAUUAAGGUUCACUAACCUUUACAAGAACAUUUAGUGUCCGUCGUGGGGCUCUCUAGUAGAACUUUUCCAGACUCCCAAGUAAAGAGCAAGUGAGCUACCGUGGUGAUAACAAGAUGAUGAAUGUUCUCCUAUAUUGAUGUAGAAGCAAAGAAAAUGAAUUCUAAAGACAAAAAUAUGUUUUGGAAUUAGCUUUGUCAAUCCAUUCAUUCUCCUAGCAGUGGAAUAUUUCAUGCAACUAUUUCAUGCUUAUUGCUUUUAAGGUUGUGUCUAAUUUCAGAAAGCUUUAGCUAAAUCUGUUUUCCAUAACAGUUUUUUCUCCAGAUGAGAAGUUCCUUCACUUUCUUGCUGUCCAUUGUUGGCACUAUGUUAAAAGUCAAAUAUUUUUUUUCAUUUUGUGUCUCUAACUCUCUAUGCAAUAAUUUAUUCACAAAGACAGUGUUUUCAGACUUUUAACUAUAAUCUAGAUCUUGUGCAGGUUAUCAUUAGAGUAUGAAUUGAUAUUUCAUAAAUUAUAUGUUGAACAAACAAAAGAUUACACUUUUUAUUUAAUAGGAAAUCAGAAAUCAGGGUACAGAAUGCUUUUUUGGAUACUGAGUAAGCACACAAUUAUGGUCCUCAGGGCUACAAUAAACUUUGAAUCAUUAUAGGAAAACAAAGGAAACUGUCAAAUUUAUCUUCUGCAAACAAUGCCAUUCCCACUGUUAGCACCACCAGUGCAAUCCAGCAUACCAUAUUCCAUCACUGAGUCUUCCUUCUCAAAAGCUUCAGCAGGAGAGAACAUACAAACACUGCAGUCUGCAGAAGUGAGAGAAGUGGUUCUGUACUUGUCUUCCCCUCCAACUACCGGCAUUGCCACACCAGGCUUCGCCGGAUUCUGAAAAUCUGGCUGAUAAGUCCUGCCAAGAACUCCUUCAACUUUGGAGGAUAGACCAUAGAAUUUAAACUGCACUUCCAAGUGAGCAAAACAAUCAUCAUCAGGAAUCUGAUAGUUAUGGAUUCUGCUGUCCUCUUUGGUAACAGGCACCACAUUUACAGAUAUCUCCGCGACUUCCGGGAGGGUAAUCAAGACACUGUUCUUGCUCGAUGUUCUCUCGAUUCGAAGUUGAUUUUCUUGGUCUUGCCAUGUGGAGAGGUGACCUUCUGGGAUGUCAAGUUCUGAUCCAUCAUAAGAGAUCUUCAAACGGUCAAUUUCAUCAUCCCAAAUUCCUGAUGGGGUGGCCUCAACAGAAAAUUUGUGGGAAUCAAAGAGGAUUCCCAGUGCUUGAAUCCAAGUAUAGUCUCUUGGUCUCCCUGCUGGCCUAAGGCCAAUAAAGCGGGCAUUGAUUUGGAGGUUGACAUCAGACACCAAGCUGAAAUGCUCGUCGCGCCUUCCAUGGAAGUAGAAAACAAUGCCAUCUGCACCAACAAAACGGGGGUCCAAGCAUGCGGAUCCACGGCCAUUGCAAUUUGGUUUGCGACCUGUGAUGCCAUCAUCAUAUUGGGAUAUAAAGUGUGAGUAAGAAGUCUCGUAUUAGAUGAAAAAAAAAGGUGGUGAGCAGUGUUAUAGGUAAACAAUUGAACAAAAGAAUGUGCUACAUCAAGAAUUUCUAUUUAAAUAACAUGCAGUUGUGUAAUGUGUAAAGUUUUGUUGCUGAACAUAAAAUGAUCU